UAAACCUCUUGCGCUUUGCAUCGAUCUUC
rnacentral:piRNA from 1 species